AGGAUUAACGCUGGCGGCGUGCCUGACACAUGCAAGUCGAACGAGGCCGCAAGGCCGAGUGGCGGACGGGUGAGUAACACGUGACCAACCAACCUCGAAGUUGGGAAUAGCUCUGCGAAAGUAGGGGUAAUACCGAAUGUGGCCCAGGGCGGGCAUCCGCUUUGGUCUAAAGAUUCAUCGCUUCGAGACGGGGUCGCGGCCUAUUAGCUUGUUGGUGAGGUAACGGCUCACCAAGGCGAUGAUGGGUAGCUGGUCUGAGAGGACGACCAGCCACACUGGGACUGAGACACGGCCCAGACUCCUACGGAGGCAGCAGUGAGGAAUCUUCCGCAAUGGGCGAAAGCCUGACGGAGCAACGCCGCGUGUGGGAUGAAGACUCUAGGGUUGUAAACCACUGUCGGAGGGGACGAUCGUGACGGUACCCUCCAAGAAAGCCCCGGCUAACUACGUGCCAGCAGCCGC
rnacentral:rRNA from 1 species